AGCAGCCGCGGUAAUUCCAGCUCCAAUAGCGUAUAUUAAAGUUGUUGCAGUUAAAAAGCUCGUAGUUGAAUUUCGGGGUUAGUAGGUUGGUCAUGCCUCUGGUAUGUACUGGUCUCACUGAUUCCUCCUUCCUGAUGAGCCGUAAUGCCAUUAAUUUGGUGUUGCGGGGAGUUUGGACUGUUACUUUGAAAAAAUUAGAGUGUUUAAAGCAAGCUAACGCUUGAAUACAUUAGCAUGGAAUAAUGAAAUAGGACGUUCGAUCCUAUUUUGUUGGUUUCUAGGAUUGACGUAAUGAUUAAUAGGGAUAGUUGGGGGCAUUAGUAUUCAAUUGUCAGAGGUGAAAUUCUUGGAUUUAUUGAAGACUAACUACUGCGAAAGCAUUUGCCAAGGAUGUUUUCAUUAAUCAAGAACGAAAGUUAGGGGAUCGAAGACGAUCAGAUACCGUCGUAGUCUUAACCAUAAACUAUGCCGACUAGGGAUCGGAUGAUGUUAAUUUUUUAAUGACUCAUUCGGCGCCUUACG
rnacentral:rRNA from 1 species